AAAGCGUCCGUAGCUGGCCGACCAAGUCUACCGGGAAAUCCACCCGCCCAACGGGUGGGCGUCCGGUAGAAACUGGCCGGCUUGGAACCGGAAGGCUCAGAGAGUACGUCCGGGGUAGGAGUGAAAUCCCGUAAUCCCGGACGGACUACCGAUGGCGAAAGCACUCUGAGAAGACGGCUUCGACAGUGAGGGACGAAAGCUCGGGUCUCAAACC
rnacentral:rRNA from 1 species